rnacentral:rRNA from 1 species
CCUACGGGUGGCAGCAGUCGAGAAUUUUUCACAAUGGGGGAAACCCUGAUGGAGCGACGCCGCGUGGGGGAUGAAUGGCUUCGGCCCGUAAACCCCUGUCAUUUGCGAACAAACCCUGCAGUUUAAGAGAUGGCAGGCUGAUCGUAGCAGAAGAGGAAGGGACGGCUAACUCUGUGCCAGCAGCCGCGGUAAUACAGAGGUCCCAAGCGUUGUUCGGAUUCACUGGGCGUAAAGGGUGCGUAGGCGGCGAGGUAAGUUUGAGGUGAAAUCUCCGGGCUCAACCCGGAAGCGGCCUUGAAGACUAUCUUGCUAGAGGAUCGGAGGGGAGAUCGGAAUUCUCGGUGUAGCAGUGAAAUGCGUAGAUAUCGAGAGGAACACCAGUGGCGAAGGCGGAUCUCUGGACGAAACCUGACGCUGAGGCACGAAAGCCAGGGGAGCAAACGGGAUUAGAUACCCUUGUAGUC